UACGGAGGAUGCGAGCGUUAUCCGGAUUUAUUGGGUUUAAAGGGUGCGCAGGCGGAAUGUCAAGUCAGCGGUAAAAUUUCGGGGCUCAACCCCGGCCCGCCGUUGAAACUGGCAGUCUCGAGUUGGAGAGAAGUAUGCGGAAUGCGCGGUGUAGCGGUGAAAUGCAUAGAUAUCACGCAGAACCCCGAUUGCGAAGGCAGCAUACCGGUGCACAACUGACGCUCAGGCACGAAAGCGUGGGUAUCGAACAGG
rnacentral:rRNA from 1 species